AACGAACGCUGGCGGCAUGCCUAACACAUGCAAGUCGAACGAGACCUUCGGGUCUAGUGGCGCACGGGUGCGUAACGCGUGGGAACCUGCCCUUAGGUUCGGAAUAACUCCCCGAAAGGGGUGCUAAUACCGGAUAAUGUCUUCGGACCAAAGAUUUAUCGCCUUUGGAUGGGCCCGCGUUGGAUUAGCUAGUUGGUAGGGUAAAAGCCUACCAAGGCGACGAUCCAUAGCUGGUCUGAGAGGAUGAUCAGCCACACUGGGGCUGGGACACGGCCCAGACUCCUACGGGAGGCAGCAGUGGGGAAUAUUGGACAAUGGGCGAAAGCCUGAUCCAGCAAUGCCGCGUGAGUGAUGAAGGCCUUAGGGUUGUAAAGCUCUUUUACCCGGGAUGAUAAUGACAGUACCGAGAGAAUAAGCUACGGCUAACUCCGUG
rnacentral:rRNA from 1 species